rnacentral:rRNA from 1 species
UACAGAGGGGGCGAGCGUUAUUCGGAAUUAUUGGGCGUAAAGAGCGUGUAGGCGGUUUGGUAGGUCCGCUGUGAAAACUCGAGGCUCAACCUCGAGACGCCGGUGGAAACCAUCAGGCUAGAGUCCGGAAGAGGAGAGUGGAAUUCCUGGUGUAGCGGUGAAAUGCGCAGAUAUCAGGAGGAACACCCGUGGCGAAAGCGGCUCUCUGGGACGGUACUGACGCUGAGACGCGAAAGCGUGGGGAGCAAACAGG